CGCCAAGAGUUGAGCCUGUGGGUCUCUCCAUAAGAGUUUUAAAACUCUUGCCAGUUACCACUUUAUCCAAUUUGCUAUCAUUUUCGUAUUAUCAGCUAUCGCCCUGUAAAAUAUUCAAAACUAGCUAUUUCUAAAGUAAACAUUUUAUCUGUUACUUUUAACCAGAUAGGUGUCUUUGUCAUCCUUCUACUAUAAAUUGUUCUUUGCCAACCUGUACAGGUAGAUGAACCAGGCGAGAGUUUUAAUCAGCCUUUUCUUGUCCCCUUUGUAAGAAAGAGAUGCUUGCCAUAGAGAAGGACAUGAGUACAUUAAAAAUAAUUUAAUAGCCACAAUAUGAUGUUCUUUAAGCUGCAAAUUGAGUACACUGGGAAUCAACAAAUUUGAUGAAGCCUGUCUGUCUCUUCACCAGUGGAGUGAGUGCAGCAGUUAGAAAGAGAAGCAAUAUUGUGCAACUGGUGCAGUGGUGAUUUUGUUUUCAAAUGCUCCUUGUGAAAACACCUAGUGUUGUAGAAAGGAAAGUGGCCAGAAAGAACAACUUGGGACCAUGAGUAGGUCAUUAAAUAGCUUAGUGAUUUAUCCUCAUAUAGGGCUUAUAAACCCUGUAUGUGUUUAUAUGUGCUUCACAGAGUUCGUGUCAGGCUCAAAGGAGAUAUGUAUAAGAAAGUGGUUUGUAAAUUAUGUUCCAUUUCAUAAAUAGACACUAUUCACAAACUAAAAUCUAAUAAAAAACCACAGUUGUAAUUUAAACUGCUUGAUAUAAAAAGAGGUAUCAUAGCAGGGAAAACACACUAAUUUUCAUACAGUAGAGGUAUUGAAAACUGAAAAUGGGAAGGCAACUUGAAGUCAUUGUAUUUGAUUGAAAAUGUUUAAUACAUCUCAUUAUUGACAAAAUAUGUCAUCUUGUAUUUAUUUCAAGGAAACCAAUGAAUUCUAGGUAGUAUAUUACAAGUUGGUCAAAAUAUUCCAUGUACAAAUAGGGCUUCUGUGUCCAUAGCCUUGUAAGAGAUACUGAUUGUAUCUGAAAUUAUUUUUUAAAAAAA
rnacentral:lncRNA from 1 species